rnacentral:snRNA from 1 species
GUGCUCCCUUCUCAGCAGCACACAUAAUAAAAUUGGAACGAUGCAGAGAAGAUUAAUAAGUCCCCUGUACAAGGAAGAUCCUCAUAUUUAUGAAGUAUUCCAUAAUUUU